CAGCGCCACGAGUGGUAACCACGUUUAUUGGGCCUAAAGCGUCCGUAGCCGGUUUGAUAAAUCUUUUGUGAAAUUGUACAGCUUAACUGUACAGCGUGCAAGAGACACUGUCAAACUUGAGACCGGGAGGAGUCAGAAGUAUUCCAGAGGGAGCGGUAAAAUGUUAUAAUCUCUGGAGGACUACCUGUGGCGAAGGCGUCUGACCAGAACGGAUCUGACGGUGAGGGACGAAAGCCAGGGGAGCGAACCGGAUUAGAUACCCGAGUAGUCC
rnacentral:rRNA from 1 species